rnacentral:rRNA from 1 species
AUUGAACGCUGGCGGCAGGCCUAACACAUGCAAGUCGAGCGGAUGAAGGGAGCUUGCUCCUGGAUUCAGCGGCGGACGGGUGAGUAAUGCCUAGGAAUCUGCCUGGUAGUGGGGGAUAACGUCCGGAAACGGGCGCUAAUACCGCAUACGUCCUGAGGGAGAAAGUGGGGGAUCUUCGGACCUCACGCUAUCAGAUGAGCCUAGGUCGGAUUAGCUAGUUGGUGGGUAAAGGCCUACCAAGGCGACGAUCCGUAACUGGUCUGAGAGGAUGAUCAGUCACACUGGAACUGAGACACGGUCCAGACUCCUACGGGAGGCAGCAGUGGGGAAUAUUGGACAAUGGGCGAAAGCCUGAUCCAGCCAUGCCGCGUGUGUGAAGAAGGUCUUCGGAUUGUAAAGCACUUUAAGUUGGGGGGAAGGGCAGUAAGUUAAUACCUUGCUGUUUUGACGUUACCAACAGAAUAAGCACCGGCUAACUUCGUG